rnacentral:rRNA from 1 species
UCCGUAGGUGAACCUGCGGAGGGAUCAUUACAAGUGACCCCGGUCUAACCACCGGGAUGUUCAUAACCCUUUGUUGUCCGACUCUGUUGCCUCCGGGGCGACCCUGCCCUCGGGCGGGGGCUCCGGGUGGACACUUCAAACUCUUGCGUAACUUUGCAGUCUGAGUAAACUUAAUUAAUAAAUUAAAACUUUUAACAACGGAUCUCUUGGUUCUGGCAUCGAUGAAGAACGCAGCGAAAUGCGAUAAGUAAUGUGAAUUGCAGAAUUCAGUGAAUCAUCGAAUCUUUGAACGCACAUUGCGCCCCCUGGUAUUCCGGGGGGCAUGCCUGUUCGAGCGUCAUUUCACCACUCAAGCCUCGCUUGGUAUUGGGCAACGCGGUCCGCCGCGUGCCUCAAAUCGACCGGCUGGGUCUUCUGUCCCCUAAGCGUUGUGGAAACUAUUCGCUAAAGGGUGCUCGGGAGGCUACGCCGUAAAACAAACCCAUUUCUAAGGUUGACCUCGGAUCAGGUAGGGAUACCCGCU